GGGUUGCAAUCUGAAACUGGUUUUGCAUCUCCCAUUGCCUGAGGAUGCUCAUGCAGUGGCACAGACCCGGCAUCUUCUGUGUUCCAGGAUUUUGGAUUGUGCCCAGUGUAGUUUGCUUUGAGGUAAUCCAGUCCUGAGGUAUGAAAGCAAGGAUCCUAACAAGAAAUUCUACGGUCAAAGGGAAUCUCUGUUUCAUUGAGGACAGAGGGUGGAGAGACUUCAUUUUAUGAGCAGCAUCUUUAAUACAGGGUUUUCUUCUGCCUGUGAUUUAAUGUCCUUGGAUC